rnacentral:misc_RNA from 1 species
UUGAAAUAAUAAUCCUGAUGAGUUGCUGCUGGCUCUCUAGGGAGCAUGUGCACACUUGUCGUUUUUAUAUUUUCACCUGUGCACCUUUUGUAGACUUGGAUAUCUUUCUGACAUAUUGUCAGGUUUGAGGAUUGACUUUCUUGGUCUGUCCUUACAUUUCCAGUCUAUGUUCCUUUAAUAUACCCCAGUUAUAGAAUGUAAUAAGUGGGCCUUUGUGCCUAUAAACCUUAUA